GAUGAACGCUGGCGGCGUGCCUAAUACAUGCAAGUCGAGCGAACAGAUGAGGAGCUUGCUCCUCUGACGUUAGCGGCGGACGGGUGAGUAACACGUGGAUAACCUACCUAUAAGACUGGGAUAACUUCGGGAAACCGGAGCUAAUACCGGAUAAUAUAUUGAACCGCAUGGUUCAAUAGUGAAAGACGGUUUUGCUGUCACUUAUAGAUGGAUCCGCGCCGCAUUAGCUAGUUGGUAAGGUAACGGCUUACCAAGGCAACGAUGCGUAGCCGACCUGAGAGGGUGAUCGGCCACACUGGGACUGAGACACGGUCCAGACUCCGACGGGAGGCAGCAGUAGGGAAUCUUCCGCAAUGGGCGAAAGCCUGACGGAGCAACGCCGCGUGAGUGAUGAAGGUCUUCGGAUCGUAAAACUCUGUUAUUAGGGAAGAACAAAUGUGUAAGUAACUAUGCACGUCUUGACGGUACCUAAUCAGAAAGCCACGGCUAACUACGUG
rnacentral:rRNA from 1 species